rnacentral:rRNA from 1 species
UACGGAGGGUGCGAGCGUUGUCCGGAAUCAUUGGGCGUAAAGGGCGCGUAGGUGGCCCGGUGAGUCUUUGGUGAAAGCGCGGGGCUCAACCCUGCGUCGGCCAGGGAUACUGCCGCGGCUCGAGCACUGUAGAGGCAGGCGGAAUUCCGGGUGUAGAGGUGGAAUGCGUAGAGAUCCGGAAGAACACCGGUGGCGAAGGCGGCCUGCUGGGCAGUGGCUGACGCUGAGGCGCGACAGCGUGGGGAGCAAACAGA